rnacentral:rRNA from 1 species
CUUAACACAUGCAAGUCGAACGGUAACAGGAAAUAGCUUGCUAUUUUGCUGACGAGUGGCGCACGGGUGAGUAAACUAUAGUUAAUGUGCCCCAAAGACUGGGAUAGCCACUGGAAACGGUGAUUAAUACCAGAUACACCUUCAUAUCAUAAGCUAUGAAGGGAAAUGUCUUUUCGCUUUGGGAUCAGACUAUAUCCUAUCAGCUAGUUGGUGAGGUAAGAGCUCACCAAGGCAAUGACGGGUAGCGGGUUUGAGAGGAUGAUCCGCCACACUGGUACUGAGACACGGACCAGACUCCUACGGGAGGCAGCAGUGAGGAAUAUUGCACAAUGGGGGGAACCCUGAUGCAGCAAC